GAGAAAGAAUGGCCAGGACAGCAUGCGGGUGGUACCAAUGCACAUGGAUGAGGUAGUUCCUACCUAGGGACCAUCUCCGUGUCUGCAGCCCAGGAGAGACAGCACUGCCUCAGUCAUGUCUGGAUGUUCACACUCCUUCGGGAAGUCCUGCAGUCUUCAGAUAUGAUUGGUGCGUCUGACCUUUCAUAUGGAGAAUUAACUAUUCUCAGUUGCAUGCAAAUCUGCUUGUCCUUGAGGCUGUUGUACUUCACCGAGUGGAGGCAAAAACCAGCUGAUUUUUCACACCUCCCCCAGACCUACUGGCUCACAAGCAGCAGCAGCAGCCUG